CGGGUGGGGGCGGCGCACACCGAGGAGAUUCAGCAGCAAGCGGAUCUAUUGUCUUCCAGUCUCCUCACGGACACCUCGUGGUAGCGCUUACUUUGGAAAACAGAAAAGUAAAACCAGCGGGAAGAGUUACAAGAAAUCUUAAAACCACCUAGGAGAAACGUGUAACCACCUUUCUAGAAAGAGGCUAUUAAUCCAUCCAAUUAGCCUUGAGAUCCGGCGCCUGCGCUGGAGACGUUCCCUGGGGGUGCUGAACGAGGCCAGCGAGCCUGGCUGCCGCAGCACCGCUCCGGAGUAGAAGCAGGAGGCGUCGGGCGGCGCGGGAGGGCCUGGGGCGCCUGCUGCCCGCGUGGGGCCCGGGCCGGGACUCGGCCGCUGCUCCACCGCGAAGCGCGGCGCCAGGAAGCGGCCGUCUCUCCGGAGCAGCAGGCAUGCCCUAGAUGAAGGGAAGCCCACGAGCAAAAGCCAGCGUCUACCCACAGGGAGGAUGACAGGAAGAGCUGGGAGCUGCUGACUGCCUGG